AGUACUAAAUCACCUAGUGAGUUAAGUUGAUACCUUAAAAGAGAAUUAUUUCUAGUACUU
rnacentral:tRNA from 1 species